rnacentral:lncRNA from 1 species
CAACUUGUAACGUCCAAGAUGCGUCUCUUUCCUUAUUUGGGGGUGAUGCCUCAAAAGGGGAAAGGGGCGCAUCUAAGCGUUUCGUGACAAUGAUUAACAUUGCAAUUCAUACAAUAGGGAUGAGUAAUAAGAUUUGGCUUACACUCGCCACAAAUUUAAGUGCAAGACUCACACAACAUUUAUUCAAAUCAUUUAGAAGAUAGGGCCCGACUACGGACAAGAUAAACGACAAAAGCAAUGGUCCUCUCUCACUAAGGCCACGAUCACGACCAACGACCUCUAGUCAUCGGGUUAGGUCACAUACAUCCGGCCACUGUCCUCGUCAAACUCCCACUUCAGCUGGGUUUCCUUGAAAGCAUUUUUAUCUGCUGCACCUGUACCUGUGGGGUGGUUGUAGUAACCUGUGAGCCACAAGGAUUCAGUGAUCUCAUGAACUUCGUAUCGAAUCUAGCUAGGUUGUUGGGUAAGGAUGGGGUAUGUGUUUGAGUUUGCAGCAACUUAAGCAUUUAUGGUGGCUAACUUAUGAAGAACAUGAGGUAAUUUAGUGGUCUAGCAAUGAUGGUCAUGACUAAGCAUAACCACUAAGUGAUCCGGAACACCAACAUACGUUAGUCAUAACCCCACCAUGUUCUCUGUCACAGAAGGAACUCUGAAGGAAACAAUCACGAUUACGCCCAUAGUUGGCAGGUUUUAAUUAACUUAAUUCAAGUUAUCUAGAACCGGAUGUUAACAAAGUUUCCAUGUUUACCACAUAACCGCGGGGAUGACUUUCUGAAAGAUUUAACCCUGCAGGGGUGCUCCAACUAAUCCUUCACAAAUUACCACAUGCCGCAUAGAAAUCCUCAAUCACGAAUCUCGCGAUCUCGUCGGACUCCUUAGUGGAAAACAUCGACUCUAAGAAAAACCCAAAGUCUCACCGGAAUCCCGAUGCACAAAAUCUAUCGUUAAACUAAGACAAGUCCAGCAAGACCACCCGACAUGGCAACGACCUCGAUAAGAGCUGCGUAUCUCAGUCCGAGGACACAUUGGAUAAGCACAGCGUAUGGUGGCCUGAUCGACAUCUCCCGGGUUGCCCCUGCAAACAGCUCUAGGUUGGACCAACACUCAUGAGGAGCACUGGCCCUGGGGUUGGUUAAGUUCUCUCAGGGUAGCUAUUCCCCAUGCUCUAAUUAUUAAGUAGUUAGGAAAUUUAACAAAAAAGUUGGGUCUUGCCAGACAAGCCUUCGACUAAAUGAUUUACCAAGGGGUCCCCAUAACAACCCCAAAUGUGUUAGGAGCGGUCAGUUAUGGAAUAAAAUACCGGUAGCCGAAACUAAGGCGGCAAAAGCGAACAAAUCACCUAGCAAAAGGCCAGGACUUCCGCCUUGUACCAAAUAUAUAGGUGAUUUAAUUAAAUAGAAUAUAAAUAAGACGAUAAUCAAAUUUUCCAUGUUAUCCAAUGGACCAGCUUGCACCUGCAACUAGAAAUUCUAUCAAGAUGGUUUAGCAAGCACUAACUUAGCCAACCAUUAUUUGCUAGGAGGUGAAGAGUUAGUGGUUUCAUGGCAAUGUUUGGAGGCUUAUUUAUUAGGUGGUAGGCAGCGAUUAGUAAUGAUGGAAACGAUUCAACUAGGCAUAACAAAGCUAGAAACGGUGUUAGGGUCACGAUCAUCUUGCCUGUGAAAUCUUCAGACUAGAACUGUUCUUCAUCUACCUGAACGUACUCAAUGGAAUUCUUGAACUUGUUCUCAGCAUCCGAUGCUACCCAAAAUAAAUAAACAGCCAACAAACACCAGCAAGUGAUAAUGCAAAAAGCAAAAGGAUGCACGUGUGGCAUGAAAGGAAGCAUGUCAUUUCUGUACUAGUCAUAUUUCAUGCAUUACCUGAGUUAUUAAUAUUCUGGACAGAACGUCAAGUUAACUUUUUUAUACAUGCAUUAUUAUGGAAGGAAUGGAUGCAUCAUGAUAAAACGGUGCAAAAGCAUAUGAAGAACGUCGUGUACCGAGUUACGAAACUACCGGAAACUACAAAACAAGAUACAGAAACCUACGGAGACAAAACAACAAUAAACCAGAUGCUAUGGGCAUCCACUUGGAAUUCCAAGGUUGCCACUGGACUAAGAAACAAAAUUCAGGUGGAAUGUUUCUAAAGAACAUGCAAAUCCAUCAAGCACAACUCACCCAGAGGUCAAAACAAAAUGGCUCACAAUUUGUCCACAAAUAGCAAAUUACCACUUUGCACAAAAGAAAUAAAGUAGCUAAAGCCAACCAAUGGCUUCAACCAAGAUAUUGAAUCAAUGCUAGAAAACAAUAUUACAACACCCAAUAUUUAUCUAAUGCACUAGGUGCAAGAAUCAAUGGCUACCAUGCUCCUAAACAUAGCAAAAAUCAUAACAUAUUCUGACUUGGUGAAAAUCACAGAUUUUCACUAGCGGUUUAUAACUGAAGCAUUUUGACAGAAACAAAAUAAGUACCUAUAGAAGACUUCAGGGCAUGAAAUUGAAAAGAGAUAUAGAGGAACACAAAUUCAAACAUUCACGAGUUUAUUGCUUGGGGUAAAACCCCACAGAAAACUUACUAGCAUCACAUCAACAGGGCAUCAAAAUAAUAGUAGAAUCUCGGACUCCAUUUACAACAGAAUAGCAACUUUGAAAAGUACAUCAACUAUGAUUCAAAGUCCUAAGAACAAACUUGUGGCACGAAUUUGUAGAGGUGUUCAACUACUACAGUCCAUGCCAUUGGUGUACCCACCAAAGAUCAACACAUCCAUGGGAACCAUGCCCACAACAAGAAAAGAAGAUAAUAGUUCCCACACUUAGAAAUUAUUCUAGCAAUGCAAACAACCAUAUUUUCUACACAUGUUAACAUCAAGGUAACCACUUAUCUAUAGGAGUAUCAUGCCAAACAAAAAUACCAGGCCCUCGAAUUCACAAAAUGCUAGAACUUUCAUGUUGGCACAAACUUCAAAGCAUGAACAAAUUAAAUACUAUAAAAAUGAUAAAAUGCCACCUCAUCACGAAAUGGCACUUUUGCAAACUUGCUCAAAAGUGAAAUCCAAUGCCAUCAUUGGAUUCCUUGGGUCUUUCUACCCCAAAAUCCUAUUCACACUAGUAUAAACACAAGUACAAAUCUACCAGAAAACGGAAAAGAAAAAAUCACUCCAAACUCUGUUUGACUUAUAAGUCACAUCACAGCCCUAAAUGGAAUAUGCAAGAUUUGGUAUUGCCCAUAUAUGAAAAUAUUCCAGAUAUGGAAUUAUCCACAGACAUAUAAAAAACACAAAUAUACUAAACAAAGCAAGGACCCACUGGUCAUAGACACCAGAGGCUCCCUAGUGUAUGACUUGUGGGCCACGUGGCCCACUGUCAGCCAUUGAGCUACAGUGCACAUGAAAAUACAAAGAAAAAAUAGAAGGAGGAGAGGGGACUCGAAUGCACAACCUCCGUGGUCACAACACAGCCUGGCUACCACUAGACUACGGUGGUGUAGUUGCUACUAUAGGGGAGUUAACAGGGAUACACUCUCUAGUCCCCUAGCACAUGAGAAGGAAAAAUCACAAAAGGGGGUUUUGCACGCAGGGGAUCGAACCUGUGACCUUGCAGCCACAUGCGCUUGCACUCUACUAGGUGGGCUACGAAUCCUUUGUUGAACAUUGGGGGAUGCGAUGAGGUUAACUUAACCAAGACCUUGCCCUGCUCCGACAUUGGUGCUCGCCGGCGGCAACGAGGCCACGGUGAGGCGCUACGCAACACUUCUAUUGGUUUGCAUGGCUACUACGCCUGGAUAUGCUACUCCUGCUGCUACUGCGAAGGCGCUGAUGCUGCUGCUAGGGCGCUACUGCAUCAACUGCUUGCCUUGCACGGAGACAGAACGGACGGCGGCAGCGACGACACAAGACGGUGAUGUGCUACACUAACAGGGGCAGAACAAAAGUGGGGCGGCGAUGAGACUUCUUACAAAGGGGCUUCUAGGCAAUGGAUCGGUCGAUGGCGAUGAUGGGGAUGACGAUGUGUUUAUGUUGUCGCCUCUGCUUGCAGGAGAUGAGGAAGAACGGGAUGGCGAAGACAGCUCAUUGGAGAGGGUCUCGGUGCAUCCUCUGUGUGGGAAUGGAACUGCCCGUCGCAGGCUCCGCUCCUGGCGUGUACGGAGGAGGUCCCUAGCGCGGAGGCAACGUCUAUCUCCUCUCGUCCAUGGAGAAGAGACCCUAUUUCCGCCGAAAUAGAGGAGGCGGGAGAGAGGAUAAGGAUGGCGGCGGUGUGGAGGAAGCCUAGAGAGGGG